ACUCAAAUGAAUUGACGGGGACUUGCACAAGCAGAGGAUUAUGAGGUUCAAUUCGUAGGUAAACGAAGAACCUUACCAAGGUUUGAAACCCAACUGAAGACAUGCAGAAACGUGUGUCGUCUCACAAGGACAGUUGGGCAGGUGAUGCAUGGUCGUCGUCAGUUCGUGGCUUGAGCUGUUCCCUUAAGUGGGGUAACGAACGCAACCCUCGUUGUCUGUUAUAUGUGUCAGGCGAGACUGCCCCGUAUAAUGAGCGCAACUUAGUACGCAACUUUUUAGUUUGUACUUAUUAUACGGGGAGGAAGGCGAGGAUGACGCCAGAUCAGCAUGUCCCUUUGAUACCUUGGGCUACACUCAUAAUACAAUGGCGGAAACAACAGGUUGCGACGAGGAAACUCUGAGCCAAUCCUUAGAAAAGCCGCCCCAGUUCGGAUUGAGGGCUGAAACUCGACCUCAUGAAGUUGGAUUUGCUAGUAAUCGCGGGUCAGACAUACCGCGGUGAAUACGUUCUCAAGUCUUGUACACACCGCCCGU
rnacentral:rRNA from 1 species